AAGGAAACUGCAGAGGAGCUGUUGGCUCGGCUGAACUUACACGAGGAGGAGGAGGAUGACUUCGUUUGGGAAGAAGAAUUUCCGAACUUGGGGGCGCCGGUGAAGUGGCUCGCUAUAGCCCAGGUGCAUACACCGAAAACCUUUAGCCCUAAUGCUCUAUACGGGGACAUGCGAGCGGCAUGGAAUUCCGCGAGGACUGUGGUGUGGAGGAAGAUCAAAGAUAGUCAGUUCACAGCCCAAUUUGGAUGUCUCGAUGAUUGGAACAAAGCAAUGUUGGAGGGACCCUGGCUGUUCAGAGAUCAUGCGGUAAUCUUGAAGGAGUAUGAUGGUUUGAUGAAGCCUGAGAGUGUUGUCCUGGGCUCAGAUACAUCUUCUCCCGGAUAA
rnacentral:rRNA from 1 species